AAACGAGAAUUUUAAGGUAGAAAGCUCAUCUUCUUCAGUCUCCCAGCUAUAAGUUCCACCCAUGCAUGUCCUCUACUGGUGGCAGCAGAAAUGGGCAGUGGGCAUCUCAGGAAGCCAUGUUGGGAAGAAGAAUUGAAGUGGCCAAGUCUUGUGCCAUUGAAGCUUGGCACUGCUGUGAGAGCCCUUCAUGUCAAGUGAAGAAGAGCUCAGAGAAACUGAGGAUGGCUAUGAACAAAAGUCCUCCCCAGUAAACAUUUAGACUGAGUUAAAAUGAAGUGCAUUGACCCAAGUGAAAGAUUCUUGUUGAAUGGCAGAAAGGCCUUCCAGAAGAACUGCAUGGAGAGUCACUAUCUUGACCUUCCCAUCAUGCUUCAGGCACAGAUGCUGACUCUGAAACCCAUUCUAACAAGCAUGCAUGUGCACACACAGACUGCAACAUCAUCAUCAUCAUCAUCAUCAUCUAAUGUUGUAAGGUUUCCACCCGUAUGAAUUUGGAAGAAGUGUAGACACAGAAGUGGACUGGUGACCAGAGUCCAGCCUUUUCUUCAGAAUCAAUAUCCACAGUCUGGCCAUGGGACCUAAGCCUGAAUGUGCCUAUGUGAAGGUGCUGAGAAGGAGCACAGAGGCAAAAGGAUGCCCUGAAUCCUGAUGCACCCAGUUCAAAGCGAAUGAAUCAGGGAGGGAUUUGAAGAACGCUGUCUCCACCCCAAGGCAUUUCCAUCCUUUUAUUGCUCUCCCAACUUUAUGGUUACUUUGAGCACUGUAGCUUAUUUAGCUACUUCCCUGGGUAGGGCAGAUAUUUCAACAGAUGUGAGCUAUGCCAACUAUCACCUACAGGGAAGGAGAUUAUAAAGGAAAGAACAUUUGAG
rnacentral:lncRNA from 1 species